GUCCCGAAGUCCCUCGCACCCGGAAAAUUCCUCCCCUCCCCCACCACCGAAGCUCGCCGGCCAUCUCGGAGCAGCUGGCCUCGGUCCUCUCGUGAUCCUCCCCCUCCGGUUCCUCCUGCCGCUCCUAGAGUGGCUCGGACCGGACGCGGUGCCUUUUGCUGUGACUGGUCUGUUGUUGUAUUCUUGUCAGUCCAUCGUGGGAGUCAAGGGUGUUGUAUGUCAUCACAAGAAAAGCAGUGCUUUUGCUCUCAUGUUAUUGGAAGAAUAUGGUAAUUGAUCAGUUUUGACAACAUUGGAGAACAUGAUGCUUUUGCUCUCAUGUCUCUAGCAACUGUUCUGCUGAUAGCGAUGAUCGUUUAGAUUCUCAGCUUCCAAGCCCUGUUGGAAAUGAUGCUGAAAACACAACAAAUGUUACUUUGAGGAGCAAGUCAAGAGUAAUGUGCAUAAAGAGCACCCUGGUGCUGCUACAACCAAGAGUACGAAGGAGAUGACCAAAACAACUAAUCAAGUCCUUAGUAACCAUACAAUGUUUGGCUGUGUGCAUCUAUUUGAUGCAGAGGCCGGGUGAUACCCAUUUCUAAAAAAAAAGUAACCAUACAAUGUCCACAUCACCAAUCCAAUCUACAAAAUCUUCGGCCGGUGGUCUUGGAGAGUGCUCCCAAUAAUUUGAUGUCAAGUCCUUCUAGAAAUCCAAGAAGAUUAUGUAAAGAUCAUAUUCCAACUUCAGCCUUUUGGGCAGUAAAGCCUCAUACAGAUGUUACUUUCCUUGGCCUGGCCAGUGCUCCAGUCUAGGUUCAGGGCAAACAUCUGGUCAUAACUUGGUGGGUGGUGAUAUUCUAUCUAGCCCAGAUUUUUUGGCAGCCCAGCAGGGUAGUCCAGAGUGUUCGACAAUUCCUAGCCCAAGAAUGGCAACUCCUGGCCCUAGCUCCAGGGUGCAUAGUGGAAGUGUUCCUCCAUUACAUAGGAGGCCUGGAGCUGGAGGGAUGGCACCUGGAUCUCCAACAAGUCAGAAUGAUGGUGGGAAGAAUAAGCAAACUCACAGAUUGCCCGUUCCACCAUUAAGCAUCUCUAAUAGUUCAUUUUUUCCAAACAAGUCCACGCUGGCUAGUCCUAUUUCAGCACCUCGUAAUCCUACCUGAACAGAGACCCACCAAGUCCUGGAUCACGAUGGAAGAAGGGGAAACUGAUUGGUGUGGUACAUUUGGCCAAUGUAUAUGUUGACUUCAACAGUGAAAUGUGUGCUAUAAAAGAGGUUACCCUAUUCUCGGAUGAUCCUAAAUCAAGGGAAAGCGCAAAACCAUUGGGGCAGGUACAGUUUUUCAAUUGUGCUUGCACCUACAAUUCUACAUCAGUUAAAAGAUCAGUUCAUUUAUUGUUCCCUUUAUUGUUUUCCAUUUACCAUUUGUUUCUGAGGAAAUAUCACUCUUGAGCCGCUUACAACAUCCAAAUAUCUACGAUACUAUGGCUCAGAAACGGUUGAUGGCAGACUCAAUAUAUACUUGGAGUAUGUAUCUGGUGGAUCUAUCCAUAAACUUCUACAAGAGUAUGCUCAGCUUGGUGAACCAGCAAUACGCAGCUACACUCAACAGAUACUUUCUGGAUUAGCUUAUUUACAUGCAAACAAUACAGUCCAUAGAUUGCUGCAAUGGUCAAGAUUGGAAAUAGCAAGGAACUUUCACCAGUACCAGAUCACCUCUCAGAGCAGGACAAGGACUUCAUCAGAAAGUUUCUGCAAUGUGAUCCUUCUCAAUGUCCCCCAGCAAUGGAGCUUUUGCAACACCUGUUCACACAAAAUAGAGUCCCACUUGAGAAAUCUGUUAUUUCUGAUUCCUUGGAACAACUGUCUGUUAUAUCUUGUAGACCGAAUUCAAAUGUGGUUGGGCAUACAAGAAAUAUCUCGUCACCUUGGGAUUGGAGGGUCAGACGAUUUAGCCGAGAAGGGGCACAAAAUUUUCUUCGAAACAUAGACCGUCCAUCUCUAUCGGGCAGAACAGGUUGGGCGUGGCAUAUUACAACUGGCAUGCUAACAUGUGUCUAAAUGGCAGAACUGUAUACUGAGUUCCCGUACAGACUGAUGGACCAAGAGUAGUAGUCCGACUCAUGCAUACUCCGGUUGCUGUUAUAUGUAAUUUAUUCUUUCAUGGCGCCCUGAUGUAGUCUCAAGUG